ensembl:miRNA
GGCAUGGAGUCCUGCGGCAUCCACGAGACCACCUUCAACUCCAUCAUGAAGUGUGACGUGGACAUCCGGAAGGAUCUCUACGCC